rnacentral:rRNA from 1 species
UUACCGAGUGAGGGCCCUCUGGGUCCAACCUCCCACCCGUGUUUAUUUUACCUUGUUGCUUCGGCGGGCCCGCCUUAACUGGCCGCCGGGGGGCUUACGCCCCCGGGCCCGCGCCCGCCGAAGACACCCUCGAACUCUGUCUGAAGAUUGUAGUCUGAGUGAAAAUAUAAAUUAUUUAAAACUUUCAACAACGGAUCUCUUGGUUCCGGCAUCGAUGAAGAACGCAGCGAAAUGCGAUACGUAAUGUGAAUUGCAAAUUCAGUGAAUCAUCGAGUCUUUGAACGCACAUUGCGCCCCCUGGUAUUCCGGGGGGCAUGCCUGUCCGAGCGUCAUUGCUGCCCUCAAGCACGGCUUGUGUGUUGGGCCCCGUCCUCCGAUCCCGGGGGACGGGCCCGAAAGGCAGCGGCGGCACCGCGUCCGGUCCUCGAGCGUAUGGGGCUUUGUCACCCGCUCUGUAGGCCCGGCCGGCGCUUGCCGAUCAACCCAAAUUUUUAUCCAGGUUGACCUCGGAUCAGGUAGGGAUACCCGCUGAACUUAAGCAUAUCAAUAAGGCGGAGGAA